rnacentral:rRNA from 1 species
UACGUAGGGGCCGAGCGUUGUCCGGAAUUACUGGGCGUAAAGCGUGCGCAGGCGGUUCUAUAAGACAGAUGUGAAAUCCCCGGGCUCAACCUGGGAACUGCAUUUGUGACUGUAGAGCUGGAGUGCGGCAGAGGGGGAUGGAAUUCCGCGUGUAGCAGUGAAAUGCGUAGAUAUGCGGAGGAACACCGAUGGCGAAGGCAAUCCCCUGGGCCUGCACUGACGCUCAUGCACGAAAGCGUGGGGAGCAAACAGG